AGAAAGCAGGGGACCNUUCGGGCCUUGCGCUAAUAGAUGAGCNUAAGUCAGAUUAGCUAGUUGGUGGGGUAAAGGCCUACCAAGGCGACGAUCUGUAGCGGGUCUGAGAGGAUGAUCCGCCACACUGGGACUGAGACACGGCCCAGACUCCUACGGGAGGCAGCAGUGGGGAAUUUUGGACAAUGGGGGCAACCCUGAUCCAGCCAUGCCGCGUGAGUGAAGAAGGCCUUUUGGUUGUAAAGCACUUUAAGCGAGGAGGAGGCUUACCUAGUUAAUACCUGGGAUAAGUGGACGUACUCGCAGAAUAGCACCGGCAACUC
rnacentral:rRNA from 1 species